rnacentral:tRNA from 1 species
UUUGUUAUAGUGUAUAGAGCAUAUAAAUUUUUGAUAUUUAAGGAGAAAAAACAGAU